rnacentral:rRNA from 1 species
UACAGAGACUGCAAGCGUUGCUCGGAAUCACUGGGCGUAAAGGGCGCGUAGGCGGGAUGGCAAGUCAGUCGUGAAAUCUCUCGGCUCAACCGAGAAACGUCGGCUGAUACUGCCGUUCUUGAGGGAUGCAGAGGAGACUGGAAUUCCCGGUGUAGCGGUGAAAUGUGUAGAGAUCGGGAGGAACACCGGUGGCGAAGGCGGGUCUCUGGGCAUUUCCUGACGCUGAGGCGCGAAAGCGUGGGGAGCAAACGGG